GGGGAAUAUUGGACAAUGGGCGAAAGCCUGAUCCAGCCAUGCCGCGUGAGUGAUAAGGCCUUCGGGUUGUAAAACUCUUUCGUCGGUGAAGAUAAUGACGGUAACCGAAAAAGAAGCCCCGGCUAACUUCGUGCCAGCAGCCGCGGUAAUACGAAGGGGGCUAGCGUUGUUCGGAAUCACUGGGCGUACAGCGCGCGUAGGCGGACUGACAAGUCAGAGGUGAAAGCCCAAGGCUCAACCUUGGAACUGCCUUUGAAACUGUCAGUCUGGAGUCUCGGAGGGGAUGGCGGAAUUCCUAGUGUAGGGGUGAAGUCCGUAGAUACUAGGAGGAACACCGGUGGCGAAGGCGGCCAUCUGGACGAGUACUGACGCUGAGGCGCGAAAGCGUGGGGCGCAAAC
rnacentral:rRNA from 1 species